rnacentral:rRNA from 1 species
UCCUGGCUCAGGAUGAACGCUAGCGGCAGGCUUAACACAUGCAAGUCGAGGGGCAGCGGGGAGGAAGCUUGCUUUCUCCGCCGGCGACCGGCGCACGGGUGAGUAACACGUAUGCAACCUGCCCCUGUCAGGGGGACAACCCGCCGAAAGGCGGGCUAAACCCGCGUACAUGCCACCGGGGCAUCCCGGAGGCAGGAAAGGCUUCGGCCGGACAGGGAUGGGCAUGCGGCGCAUUAGGCAGUAGGCGGGGUAACGGCCCACCUAACCGACGAUGCGUAGGGGUUCUGAGAGGAAGGUCCCCCACACUGGUACUGAGACACGGACCAGACUCCUACGGGAGGCAGCAGUGAGGAAUAUUGGUCAAUGGUCGGGAGACUGAACCAGCCAAGCCGCGUGAGGGAGGAAGGUACAGAGUAUCGUAAACCUCUUUUGUCAGGGAACAAAGGCGGGGACGUGUCCCCGGAUGAGUGUACCUGAAGAAAAAGCAUCGGCUAACUCCGUGCCAGCAGCCGCGGUAAUACGGAGGAUGCGAGCAUUAUCCGGAUUUAUUGGGUUUAAAGGGUGCGCAGGCGGUCUGUUAAGUCAGCGGUCAAAGCCCGGGGCUCAACCCCGGCCCGCCGUUGAAACUGGCAGUCUCGAGUUGGAGAGAAGUAUGCGGAAUGCGCGGUGUAGCGGUGAAAUGCAUAGAUAUCGCGCAGAACUCCGAUUGCGAAGGCAGCAUGCCGGCUCCACACUGACGCUGAGGCACGAAAGCGUGGGUAUCGAACAGGAUUAGAUACCCUGGUAGUCCACGCAGUAAACGAUGAAUGCUGGCUGUCCGGGGGGAUUGACCCCUGGGUGGCGAAGCGAAAGCGAUAAGCAUUCCACCUGGGGAGUACGCCGGCAACGGUGAAACUCAAAGGAAUUGACGGGGGCCCGCACAAGCGGAGGAACAUGUGGUUUAAUUCGAUGAAACGCGAGGAACCUUACCCGGGCUCAAACGGGGAGUGACUCAGGCUGAGACGCCUGUUUCCCACGGGACACUCCCCGAGGUGCUGCAUGGUUGUCGUCAGCUUGUGCCGUGAGGUGUCGGCUUAAGUGCCAUAACGAGCGCAACCCCCGCGUGCAGUUGCUAACAGAUAACGCUGAGGACUCUGCACGGACUGCCGGCGCAAGCCGCGAGGAAGGCGGGGAUGACGUCAAAUCAGCACGGCCCUUACGUCCGGGGCGACACACGUGUUACAAUGGGUGGUACAGCGGGAAGCCAGGCGGCGACGCCGAGCGGAACCCGAAAUCCACUCUCAGUUCGGAUCGGAGUCUGCAACCCGACUCCGUGAAGCUGGAUUCGCUAGUAAUCGCGCAUCAGCCAUGGCGCGGUGAAUACGUUCCCGGGCCUUGUACUCACCGCCCGUCAAG